rnacentral:rRNA from 1 species
AUUGAACGCUGGCGGCAGGCUUAACACAUGCAAGUCGAGCGGUAGCACAGGGGAGCUUGCUCCCUGGGUGACGAGCGGCGGACGGGUGAGUAAUGUCUGGGAAACUGCCUGAUGGAGGGGGAUAACUACUGGAAACGGUAGCUAAUACCGCAUAACGUCGCAAGACCAAAGAGGGGGACCUUCGGGCCUCUUGCCAUCAGAUGUGCCCAGAUGGGAUUAGCUAGUAGGUGGGGUAAUGGCUUACCUAGGCGACGAUCCCUAGCUGGUCUGAGAGGAUGGCCAGCCGCACUAGAACUGAGGCACGGUACAGACUCCUACGGGAGGCAGCAGUGGGUAAUAUUGCACAAGGGGCGGAAGACUGAUGCAGCCAUGCCGCGUGUGUGAAGAAGGCCUUCGGGUUGUAAAGCACUUUCAGCGGGGAGGAAGGUGGUGAACUUAAUACGUUCAUCAAUUGACGUUACCCGCAGAGGAAGCACCGGCUAACUCCGUG